rfam:Tupaia chinensis contig56650, whole genome shotgun sequence.
GGUGGUCCAGGAUGAAACCUAAUCUGAGUGGACGUCUGGAUGAGAGAUGCGGAUAUAGGGCUGAGACCAGCU